UCUCCCUCGUCUUCUUUUUAAUUAUUUUUUGGGUUUUGUUUGCGAUGCAAUUCUGCAGCUAUAUGAAUUUAUUCUGGGUCAGAUAUUUUAUAUUUUGAUUUUUUAUGUAAUUUGUUUAAAAUUUUUAUGGUUGUUUCUGGUUGCCGUGAUCAAUUCUUAUUGUUAAAUUGUUGAAUGGCUGCGUGGUUUUUGUCGGUUGCUGAGAAGUGAUUAUAAAAUUUUGAUAAUUAUAUUGGAAUUUUAAUUUUACUAUAGGAUUAGUUUGCUGUUCUAAAUUUUGCAAUUAAACUGGUUGAUAUUAUCAAUUUUCAAUCUGUUUUCAAUUUGAGUUAGCUGCUUCAGUGGCCUUCUAUGUUUCCGUUUUCUGGCAACAUUUUCAUCAAUGGUAGCUAUAUCAUGCAUAUUUGUGGUAUUCUUUGAUUUUGGUUUCAGAAGAGAUGACAUUUUCUUAUCCCUUGGUUCUCAGGCCAGCAUCUUUUAUGCAUGACAGGGAUUGCGUUUUCCUAAUUGGCAAAGAUUUUGGUUCACUCUGGCCGCUGCAACAAAUUUUAAGUCUUCUCGCACCUCUAGAUGGGUGUGGGGUGAUAACGAGGGAGUGAUAUUGGUUUGUCUCUUGAGGAGAUCAAGGUCAUGUCAUGUUUGGAGAUUGUGUCGUAUUUCAGAGGGCUUGUCUCUGGAUUAUGGCUAAGGUCACGUUUUGCUAGAUCCCCAGAAGCUUGAUGUUAGUUGACAUUCUACAUUAGUUAAGUUUGGUACUUGUUUCAGGCUUCUGAACAGAACAUUGAUGCUUAGAAUAGAAUAGUUGUUUACCCAUAGAAUUUUUAUGUAGCACAAGAGUAUAAGUGGAUGUAACUCUUAUCAGUGUUGUCAAAAUGGUUAGGUUUUCGUGCUUCAAUGCGCAUAUCCAUUCCAACAAACCAAAGAAACCCUUUGAAAAUUCUGUUGAAUCAAUGCGUAAGACCUUACAAGACUCCACCUCUCAAAUUGAAGCCCCUAUGGCACCACCUAAAGCUACCAGCUCAAAUUCAUUAUUGCUCAAGGCGCAAGCAGAUACUGAAAUUAGUCGGAGCAUCAAGAGUGUUACAAGUUCUGUGUUAGUUGAACGGGGCAGGAAAUCAGAGGAAAUUAAGGGCAAACUAAAUAUAGGAAAUGACACACGAGUCCAUCAGAAAGGUCUUAUUAAGAAAAGUCAGUCUCUGGGAAGUGGAUUAUGCCAUGAGGGAAGGAUUCUGUGUGAAAAUGACACGGAGGACGACAUAGAUCAAGGAUUUUCUAGUGAUUCCCUUGAUCAAAAUGGGCUGUGUGGACCAUACAGCACCAAGGAUGCAGGAGUUAGCGCAAGCUGUCAGCAGGAAAAUGUUCCACAAUCAGAGACUGCCCAACUAGGUUCUGAUAUUGUCAAUGCUAAAUCCAUCCAUUCAAUUGAAGAUCCUCAACAUUCAGAGGAGGGCCCUGAAAAUUUUGAAACUCUGGUAUCUGGUGAAGUUUGCAAUGAAUCUAGGAAUCAUAUGCCUCACGCACCUCCAAUGAUUGUAAAAUCAUGCUCGUUGCCUACUAUUUGCCCUUCCUCACCCUCUUCUGGUCAAUAUUCCUAUAAAUAUUUAGCACCUCGUUCAAGAUCUUGUGAGAACUUACAUGCACUACAUAUGAGGUGGAAAGAGUUUUCAUUUCGUGAAGUUGAAAAGCAGGCGAUGCGAGAACAUGAAAGAAAUGAUAAUGAUUCUAAAACUGAGAAAAAUAAUUUUGAAAAUUCUCUUGAUGAUGUUUAUGAUUCUUACAAUUAUUCAGCUUCAGCAAAAGACUGGAUUAUACCAGUUACAGAUGAGGUAAGCAUGGCAACAAUACUUCAAGGAAAAUCCUCCAGUGGGGAGUUUGAUGAAUUGCCGAGCAAGGAUUUUAAAAUUAAGCGGAUUGAGGAGUGGAUCAUUGAUCUUCAACACUGCAGCCCAUUGGAAGACAGAAAUGAUUUAUCAGAUUCUAAUCCCCCAAUGAAUAGAGAUUUCACUGUCAUCAAUGGUUUGAGUGGCACAAAGGCGGAUGCUAAGGUGGUCACUCCUGGCAUGGAAGCUGCUAAAAGAUACAUCUCUUCUUUGAGUGCUGCCGCUACCACAGCUCAGCUGUCAAAUCAUGGGCUGGCAGUGAUCCCAUUUCUUAGUGCAUUUGUUAGCCUGAGGGUGCUUAAUCUAUCAGGAAAUUCCAUAGGUUUGCAUCUCUAAGAGCAUCUUUAUCCUUUUUCCCUCUUGUCUUCUAGUGGAAUGGUCUUAGGGGGGAAAUAAUAUUAAUAAUAUCUGUCCUAAUGUUUGCUUCUGUACUCUUUCCAGUAAGAAUAGCUGCUGGCGCCCUUCCUCGAGGACUUCAUUUGUUGAAUCUGUCAAAAAACAAUAUUUCCACUAUUGAGGGUUUGCGUGAACUCACCCGACUCCGUGUGCUGGACUUGAGCUACAACCGGAUAUUAAGAAUUGGGCAUGGUAUGUUAUGAACUGUAACUUGAUGGUUGUUACUUGUUAGCUUUUCUAUAUUUGUGUUCUUUUUUUAUUCUUUAUAUUCCCAAUUCUGUUGCAUCCUAAAUGUUGUUGAUAUUGAUCCUUGUAACUUUUUUUUUGAACAUUUCUUGUCUGUUUUAAAAGGUCUGGCUUCUUGUUCUUCCCUGAAAGAGUUGUACUUGGCUGGAAAUAAAAUAAGUGAGGUAGAGGGUCUCCACCGCCUAUUAAAACUAACAGUACUGGAUCUGCGUUUCAACAAAAUCUCUACAGCCAAAUGUCUGGGCCAACUUGCAGCCAACUACAAUUCCUUGCAAGCCAUUAGCUUGGAAGGAAAUCCAGCACAGAAAAAUGUUGGAGAUGAACAACUCAAGAAAUAUCUGCAAGGCCUUCUUCCCCAUCUUGUUUACUUCAACAGGCAGCCAAUUAGAGUCAGCACAUUAAAAGAUGCUGCAGACCGAUCAGUAAGGCUGGGCAUCAAUGCCCAUCAGUUUGAUCGUGGCCUAAAGUCAGAUAACAAAGCUACACGGAAGAGUAGCCAUGGACUAGCUGGCACCAGGCCAACAUCUUCAUCAAUUCACGGUCGUAAAAGUCAAGCUGUAGUCUCACCGAAGCGGUCCAGGGGUAGGCAUGUUCGUCUGCCACCAACUGGGACUAAGGCAACAACCAAUCUUCGGCAUCAUUAUUUUGAUAUCAGUAACAAACUGAACUUUAGAUCAGAGCUGUCAAUGCACAGGAGUCGAAGUGAGGGAACUUUGAGAGUCCUGUGAGAUCUGUUAUGAUUUCAAGAGUCUAUUACGCUACUUGAAGUUUUUGGUUGUCCUGGUAGUAAAUCUGUGGUCUCAUUGAAACGUUCCUUCAAGUGCAUCGAAAGCAAUGAUCAAUCAAUGUGAUUAUAUUGCUCCAUAUACUCCUGCAUUCUCAUUUCACAGUAGUUGAGGAACUCUUGGAACUCAGAUGAUUUGUCAUGCUUUUGGAGUCCUGUUUCUCCACCUGUUUGAGUUUGGUUGUGCGAUUUUCUAUCUCAGCAUUAUUAUUUGUCUCUUGAUCUACUGUGUUUGUGUUAUGUGAACAUGUUUAUGUUUGAUGUUGCUAUUGAUUCAAUAACCAAUUCGAACAUUUUUGUUAAUGUUGCACUUUGCAUUUGAAAUAUUAAACUUUUGGCUUGGACCCUUUGUUCUCAAUGGCAUGUCAAUUAAGCUGCAAAGUUGCUGUACUGCAGUUCCUCAGUGAAUGCGAGAUGCAAUUAAGUGCAAUCUUAACAGUGAGUUGGAGAUACGAUUUGUGGGAUGUAAUACGAGAUGCAAUUAUAUGCAAAUUUUAGUUGGUUUUUGGGAUUUCAGUUUGGAUAAGAAAAAAGAAG
rnacentral:misc_RNA from 1 species